GCUACUUGUUUGUUGGUUUGUUUAUUAUUUAUUUAUUUAUUUAUUUAUUAACUAUUAAUAUUAUUAUUAUUAUUUAUAUUAUUAUUAUAUUAUUACUAUUAUAUAGAUUUUUUUUUUUUUCACCGUAAAAAAAAAAAAAUAAUAUAUGCGCGGUUUUUUGGAAACUAAUAAUAUUACGAUAACGGUUAAUUAAAUUAAGUACUAUUGUGUGACGCGUGCGACCGCCUAAACGAGUCGAAAAAAUUUCUGAAAAAACAGAACAAAACAGAAAAAAAAAAAAAAUAAAAUAAAAAACGUAGCGCGAUCCGUUUUCGGAAAAACCGUACCCGGGACCGCUUAGCGGAUGUUCGUAGACGCGAUACGCGAACACGCCGUCUGUAACGUGUAUUGUCGAAUAUAUAAUUCAUAAUAUUAUAUAAACAUACGUAUAUAUAUAUAUAUAUAUACAUAUAUAUGUAUAUAUAUAUAUAUAUUUACAUAUUAUUUAGGUCU